AACGAACGCUGGCGGCAUGCCUAACACAUGCAAGUCGAACGAGACCUUCGGGUCUAGUGGCGCACGGGUGCGUAACGCGUGGGAAUCUGCCCUUCGGUUCGGAAUAACAGUUAGAAAUGACUGCUAAUACCGGAUAAUGACGUAAGUCCAAAGAUUUAUCGCCGAGGGAUGAGCCCGCGUAGGAUUAGCUUGUUGGUGGGGUAAUGGCCCACCAAGGCGACGAUCCUUAGCUGGUCGAGAGGAUGAUCA
rnacentral:rRNA from 1 species